rnacentral:rRNA from 1 species
GACGAACGCUGGCGGCGUGCCUAAUACAUGCAAGUCGAACGCUGAAGGAGGAGCUUGCUCUUCUGGAUGAGUUGCGAACGGGUGAGUAACGCGUAGGUAACCUGCCUGGUAGCGGGGGAUAACUAUUGGAAACGAUAGCUAAUACCGCAUAAGAGUAGAAGUUGCAUGACAUUUACUUAAAAGUUGCAAUUGCAUCACUACCAGAUGGACCUGCGUUGUAUUAGCUAGUUGGUGGGGUAACGGCUUACCAAGGCGACGAUACAUAGCCGACCUGAGAGGGUGAUCGGCCACACUGGGACUGAGACACGGCCCAGACUCCUACGGGAGGCAGCAGUAGGGAAUCUUCGGCAAUGGACGGAAGUCUGACCGAGCAACGCCGCGGGAGUGAAGAAGGGUUUCGGAUCGUAAAGCUCUGUUGUAAGAGAAGAACGAGUGUGAGAGUGGAAAGUUCACACUGUGACGGUAGCUUACCAGAAAGGGACGGCUAACUACGUG